CGUGCUUAAUACAUGCAAGUCAACUUGACUUUAGAUAGCAAUAUCGAAAGUAGGGUGGCGCACGGGUGCGUAACGCGUAGGUAAUCUGCCCUGAGGACUGACCAUAACCCGUCGAAAGGCGGGCUAACAUCAGAUGAUAUAUAAUCACGACAUCGUGGAAAUAUCAAAUCUUCGGAGCCUUGGGAUGAGCCUGCGUCUGAUUAGGUAGUUGGCGGAGUAAUAGCCCACCAAGCCUACGAUCAGUAGCUGGUCUGAGAGGAUGAUCAGCCACACUGGAACUGAGACACGGUCCAGACUCCUACGGGAGGCAGCAGUAAGGAAUAUUGCUCAAUGGGGGGAAACCCUGAAGCAGCAACGCCGCGUGAAGGAUGAAAUACUUUUGUAUGUAAACUUCUGUAAGAUGGGAAAAAUAUUCUCCUCGGGAGAAUUGAUUGUACCAUCAGAGUAAGCCCCGGCUAACUACGUG
rnacentral:rRNA from 1 species